UAGGGAAUCUUCGGCAAUGGACGAAAGUCUGACCGAGCAACGCCGCGUGAGUGAAGAAGGUUUUCGGAUCGUAAAACUCUGUUGUUAGAGAAGAACAAGGACGUUAGUAACUGAACGUCCCCUGACGGUAUCUAACCAGAAAGCCACGGCUAACUACGUGCCAGCAGCCGCGGUAAUACGUAGGUGGCAAGCGUUGUCCGGAUUUAUUGGGCGUAAAGCGAGCGCAGGCGGUUUCUUAAGUCUGAUGUGAAAGCCCCCGGCUCAACCGGGGAGGGUCAUUGGAAACUGGGAGACUUGAGUGCAGAAGAGGAGAGUGGAAUUCCAGGUGUAGCGGUGAAAUGCGUAGAUAUAUGGAGGAACACCAGUGGCGAAGGCGGCGCUCUGGUCUGUAACUGACGCUGAGGCUCGAAAGCGUGGGGAGCAAACAGG
rnacentral:rRNA from 1 species